UAGUCCAGCAAAUGCAGAGAAAACAGCUCCCUGUAGUGGAAAACUCCAGUCUUUUAACUGCUCUAUGCAUGGCUAUGUUUAUGAUCUUUUAUGUUGAAUUUCCCAUGCUGUGAAUACAAGUGUUCUUCCAGUAGCACCGUCAGAAAGCUGCAGUCUCAAUUCUUACACAGGAGUAAUUCAGAGAAACCUAAUAUGGAAUGUGAUGCUGACACAGAAAGAAACAGCAACUGAGACAGGAGCAGGGGUAUACAGGAAGGAUUAAACACCAAUGUGUGAGUGGGGACAUCACUUGAUACUUGGGUCAAGAAGAGACUUGUUUUGUGC
rnacentral:lncRNA from 1 species